UACAGAGGGGGCAAGCGUUGUUCGGAAUUACUGGGCGUAAAGGGCGCGUAGGCGGCCUUCUAAGUCGAACGUGAAAUCCCCGGGCUCAACCCGGGAACUGCGUCCGAUACUGGAAGGCUUGAAUCCGGGAGAGGGAUGCGGAAUUCCAGGUGUAGCGGUGAAAUGCAUAGAUAUGACCCAGAACACCAAUUGCGAAGGCAGGUGACUACGGUCUGAUUGACACUGAGGCACGAGAGCAUGGGGAGCGAACAGG
rnacentral:rRNA from 1 species